AUGCUACUCCCUCCGUCCGGAAAUACUUGUCCUAAAAAUGGUUGAAUCUAGACUUAUUUUAGUUAUAGAUACAUCCAUUUUAUCCAGUUUUAGGACAAGUAUUUUCGGACGGAGGGAGUAUUAC
rfam:Triticum aestivum genome assembly, contig: Triticum_aestivum_CS42_TGACv1_scaffold_602844_7DL